CCUACGGGGGGCAGCAGUGGGGAAUUUUGCGCAAUGCUCGUAAGAGUGACGCAGCGACGCCGCGUGAAGGAAGAAGGCUUUCGGGUUGUAAACUUCUUUUCUCAGGGACGAAGCAAGUGACGGUACCUGAGGAAUAAGCCACGGCUAACUACGUGCCAGCAGCCGCGGUAAUACGUAGGUGGCAAGCGUUAUCCGGAUUUACUGGGUGUAAAGGGCGCGUAGGCGGGAAUGCAAGUCAGAUGUGAAAUCCAUGGGCUUAACCCAUGAACUGCAUUUGAAACUGUAUUUCUUGAGUGUCGGAGAGGUAGACGGAAUUCCUAGUGUAGCGGUGAAAUGCGUAGAUAUUAGGAGGAACACCAGUGGCGAAGGCGGUCUACUGGACGAUAACUGACGCUGAGGCGCGAAAGCGUGGGGAGCAAACAGGAUUAGAUACCCUU
rnacentral:rRNA from 1 species